GACGAACGCUGGCGGCGUGCUUAACACAUGCAAGUCGAACGGUGAAGGGGUCUGCUUUUGUGGGCCCUGGAUGAGUGGCGAACGGGUGAGUAACACGUGAGUAACCUGCCCCCUUCUUCUGGAUAACCGCAUGAAAGUGUGGCUAAUACGGGAUAUUCUGGGUCUGUCGCAUGAUGGGUCUGGGAAAGAUUGCGCCUUUGGGUGUUUUUGGUGGGGGAUGGGCUCGCGGCCUAUCAGCUUGUUGGUGGGGUGAUGGCCUACCAAGGCGGCGACGGGUAGCCGGCCGGAGAGGGGGGACGGUCACACUGGGACUGAGGCACGGCCCAGACUCGUACGGGAGGCAGCAGUGGGGAAUAUUGCACAAUGGGCGCAAGCCUGAUGCAGCGACGCCGCGUGAGGGAUGGAGGCCUUCGGGUUGUAAACCUCUUUCGCCAGUGAAGCAGGCCUGCUCCGUGUGGGUGGGUUGACGGUAGCUGGAUAAGAAGCGCCGGCUAACUACGUG
rnacentral:rRNA from 1 species